AUUGAACGCUGGCGGCAUGCCUUACACAUGCAAGUCGAGGGGUAGCAAGAUUGUAGCAAUACAAUUGUUGACGACCGGCAAACGGGUGCGGAACACGUACACAACCUUCCUACAAGUGGGGAAUAGCCCAGAGAAAUUUGGAUUAAUACCCCGUAACAUAGCGAUGUGGCAUCACAUUGCUAUUAUAGCUUCGGCGCUUGUUGAUGGGUGUGCGGCUGAUUAGAUAGUUGGCGGGGUAACGGCCCACCAAGUCUACGAUCAGUAGCUGAUGUGAGAGCAUGAUCAGCCACACGGGCACUGAGACACGGGCCCGACUCCUACGGGAGGCAGCAGUAAGGAAUAUUGGACAAUGGACGCAAGUCUGAUCCAGCCAUGCCGCGUGAAGGAUUAAGGUCCUCUGGAUUGUAAACUUCUUUUAUAAGGGACGAAAAAAGGUCUUUCUAGAUCGUCUGACGGUACCUUAUGAAUAAGCACCGGCUAACUCCGUGCCAGCCGCCGCGGUAAUAC
rnacentral:rRNA from 1 species